UCUACGUGAACUAGUCUUUCACUACUUCCUCCCUUCAUUUUCAUUCAUUUUUCUUUUUUUUUACUACUUCUUUGUCUCGUCUCCGGCGGGGCCAGGAAAUAACCCGAACUCUCGGUUCCCCGAUGUCAUUACGUAAGUCUACUAGAGGAUGUUGUCUAGUUAAACCUUCCCAUCCCCGAUGUUAUUAUGUAAGUCUACUAGAGGAUUUUGUCUAGUUAAACCUUUCCAUUACAUCUUGAGGAAUAAAAUAACAAUUAAAAAAGGGGUGCAACAAGAGGAUGGACGAACAUGUCAGCCAUAAUAGUAUUACUCUCAGCGAUGUACAUUUCACUUCAGAGUGUGAGGGGAUUCGAUGAAUUAGUGCUGUUAUGAUAACACCCCUCUGCUUCUCGCGCUCAUAUCUACAUGAACUAGUCUUUAACUACUUCCUCCCUUCAUUUGCAUUCAUUUUUCAUUUUUUACUACUUCUUUGUCUCGUCUCCGGCGGGGCCAGGAAAUAACCCGCACUCUCGGUUCCCCAUUGUCAUUAGGUAAGUCGGUACCCCGAUGUCAUUACGUAAGGCUACUAGAGGAUGUUAUCUAGUUCAACCUUUCCAUUACACCUAGAGGAAUAAAAUACCAAUAAAAAUAGGAAAAAUAAGUGGUCGAACAAGAGGAUCGAUGAACAGGUCAGCCGUCAUAGUACUACUCUCAACGAUGUACAUUUUUCUUUAGAGUGGUGACGAGAUUCGAUGAAUUAGUUAUGUUAUGAUCACACCCCUUUACUUCUCGUGCUCAUAUCUACGUGAACUAGUCUUUCACUACUUCCUCCCUUCAUUUUCAUUCAUUUUCUUAUUUUUUACAACGUCUUUGUCUCGUCUCCGGCAGGGCAAGGAAAUAACCCGCACUCUCUAUUCCCCGAUAUCAUUACGUAAGUCUACUAGAGGAUGUUGUCUAGUUAAACCUUUCCAUUACAUCUCAAGGAAUAAAAUAGCAAUAAAAAU
rnacentral:lncRNA from 1 species